UACGAAGGGGGCUAGCGUUGUUCGGAUUUACUGGGCGUAAAGCGCACGUAGGCGGAUCGUUAAGUCAGGGGUGAAAUCCUGGGGCUCAACCCCAGAACUGCCUUUGAUACUGGCGAUCUCGAGUCCGGAAGAGGUGAGUGGAACUCCUAGUGUAGAGGUGGAAUUCGUAGAUAUUAGGAAGAACACCAGUGGCGAAGGCGGCUCACUGGUCCGGUACUGGCGCUGAGGUGCGAAAGCGUGGGGAGCAAACAGG
rnacentral:rRNA from 1 species